rnacentral:rRNA from 1 species
AUUGAACGCUGGCGGCAUGCCUUACACAUGCAAGUCGAACGGCAGCGCGGGGCAACCUGGUGGCGAGUGGCGAACGGGUGAGUAAUGCAUCGGAACGUACCUUUCAGUGGGUGAUAACGUAGCGAAAGUUACGCUAAUACCGCAUAUUCUGUGAGCAGGAAAGCAGGGGAUCGCAAGACCUUGCGCUGAUUGAGCGGCCGAUGUCAGAUUAGCUAGUUGGGGAGGUAAAGGCUCACCAAGGCGACGAUCUGUAGCAGGUCUGAGAGGAUGAUCCGCCAAGCUGGAACGGAGACACGGUCCAGACUCCUACGGGAGGCAGCAGUGGGGAAUUUUGGACAAUGGGGGCAACCCUGAUCCAGCCAUGCCGCGUGAGUGAAGAAGGCCUUCGGGUUGUAAAGCUCUUUCGGCCGGGAAGAAAUCGCACGGGCUAAUACCCUGUGUGGAUGACGGUACCGGAAUAAGAAGCACCGGCUAACUACGUGCCAGCCGCCGCAGUAAUAC